GUGAGGACUUGGGAGGUGGAGGGCGGCGUGGCCGGCCCGGCGGGCGCCGUCUCAGCUCGCCGCGCCCCCCACCUCCUCUCUCCUCAG
rnacentral:pre_miRNA from 2 species